UACGUAGGGACCAAGCGUUGUUCGGAUUUACUGGCGUAAAGGGCGCGUAGGCGGCAAUUCAAGUCAGCUGUGAAAUCUCCGAGCUUAACUCGGAACGGUCAGCUGAUACUGUUUUGCUAGAGUACAGAAGGGGCAAUCGGAAUUCUUGGUGUAGCGGUGAAAUGCGUAGAUAUCAAGAGGAACACCUGAGGUGAAGACGGGUUGCUGGGCUGAUACUGACGCUGAGGCGCGAAAGCUAGGGUAGCAAACGGG
rnacentral:rRNA from 1 species